rnacentral:rRNA from 1 species
GAUCAUGGCUCAGGAUGAACGCUGGCGGCGUGCCUAACACAUGCAAGUCGAACGGAAUUUACAUGAAGCCUAGCGAUUGUAAAUUUAGUGGCGGACGGGUGAGUAACGCGUGGGUAACCUGCCUUGUACUGGGGGACAACAGUUGGAAACGACUGCUAAUACCGCAUAAGCGCACAGCUUCGCAUGAAGCAGUGUGAAGAACUCCGGUGGUACAAGAUGGACCCGCGUCUGAUUAG